GGCUGGUCCGAAGGUAGUGAGUUAUCUCACGUGAUUGUUCACAGUCAGUUACAGAUUGAACUCCUUGUUCUACUAUUUUCCCCCCUCCUCACUACUGCACUUGACUAGUCUUAA
rnacentral:Y_RNA from 1 species